rnacentral:lncRNA from 1 species
UUGGCCAGACAGCCUGGCCCUAAUGGGACACAGAGAACUUGGGGCUCCUUGGAAGACUGAUACUGUUUCUGGAGUCUCUGCUUUCUCUGCCCUACCCUGCCUCUGGUGUCUCUAGCAGGAGACCCCACAAAGCACCAGCCCUCCCAGGUCUGCCGGCUCCAGCCCGUAGGAUUGGCUUAAACAAUGUGUGAGAGCCAUGGAGCACCAUCUAAUAAAAAUCACAACAAGGAGGAUAAUUUUCCAGCCUUUUCAGGCCCUGAUUGGUAUCAUUUCUCCAGCAAGGACAGCUUUUAUUUUCCCCGAAAUGAAUGCCAUGAAAUUUCCAAGAAAUGUAAAAAUGGAUAUUGUCUCAGAGAGCCUCUUCCGACAGAAAGGCACAGAGGCAAACACGCUUCCCUAGGGACUCUUCUGCUCCAGUCCCGGGGGUGGGGUGGGGGGCAGCCCCCAGGCCCUCAGUCUCUCCUCCCUCCUUUUGCCCUCCCUCAUCCCUUCCUCCUCCCUCCCGGGUCAGCUCUGGGACCCCCCUUCCAGCCACCCUCUCCCAGACUCAGCUGCUAUUGGUCUGCUCAUGGGCCUCCCGACUCCCUGCCGGGCGACCUGCCUGGCUCCACCUCACCUUUUCUUUUCACAUCGCAU